rnacentral:rRNA from 1 species
CAGCGACGCCGCGUGAGGGAUGACGGCCUUCGGGUUGUAAACCUCUUUCAGUUGGGAAGAAGCGUAAGUGACGGUACCUGCAGAAGAAGCGCCGGCUAACUACGUGCCAGCAGCCGCGGUAAUACGUAGGGCGCAAGCGUUAUCCGGAAUUAUUGGGCGUAAAGAGCUCGUAGGCGGUUUGUCGCGUCUGCUGUGAAAGACCGGGGCUCAACUCCGGUUCUGCAGUGGGUACGGGCAGACUAGAGUGCAGUAGGGGAGACUGGAAUUCCUGGUGUAGCGGUGAAAUGCGCAGAUAUCAGGAGGAACACCGAUGGCGAAGGCAGGUCUCUGGGCUGUAACUGACGCUGAGGAGCGAAAGCAUGGGGAGCGAACAGGAUUAGAUACCCUGGUAGUCCAUGCCGUAAACGUUGGGCACUAGGUGUGGGGGACAUUCCACGUUUUCCGCGCCGUAGCUAACGCAUUAAGUGCCCCGCCUGGGGAGUACGGCCGCAAGGCUAAAACUCAAAGGAAUUGACGGGGGCCCGCACAAGCGGCGGAGCAUGCGGAUUAAUUCGAUGCAACGCGAAGAACCUUACCAAGGCUUGACAUGAACCGGAAAGACCUGGAAACAGGUGCCCCGCUUGCGGUCGGUUUACAGGUGGUGCAUGGUUGUCGUCAGCUCGUGUCGUGAGAUGUUGGGUUAAGUCCCGCAACGAGCGCAACCCUCGUUCUAUGUUGCCAGCGGUUCGGCCGGGGACUCAUAGGAGACUGCCGGGGUCGACUCGGAGAG